GGUGAACGCUGGCGGCGUGCUUAAGACAUGCAAGUCGAACGGCAGUCUUCGGACUGUAGUGGCGCACGGGUGAGUAACGCGUAACUGACCUACCCCAAAGUCGCGGAUAACGAUUCGAAAGAAUCGCUAAUACGUGAUGUGCUGUCAGAUCCUGUUCUGCCAGUAAAGAUUGAUUGCUUUGGGAUGGGGUUGCGUUCCAUCAGCUAGUUGGUGGGGUAAAGGCCCACCAAGGCGACGACGGAUAGCCGGCCUGAGAGGGUGGCCGGCCACAGGGGCACUGGGACACGGGUCCCACUCCUACGGGAGGCAGCAGUUAGGAAUCUUCCACAAUGGGCGAAAGCCUGAUGGAGCGACGCCGCGUGAGGGAUGAAGGUCUUCGGAUCGUAAACCUCCGAAUCAGGGACGAAAGACACUUCGGUGGGAUGACGGUACCUGAGUAAUAGCACCGGCUAACUCCGUGCCAGCCGCCGCGCGUAAUAC
rnacentral:rRNA from 1 species